rnacentral:rRNA from 1 species
CCUACGGGUGGCUGCAGUGAGGAAUAUUGGUCAAUGGACGAGAGUCUGAACCAGCCAAGUCGCGUGAAGGAUGACUGCCCUAUGGGUUGUAAACUUCUUUUAUAUGGGAGUAAAAUGUUCCACGUGUGGGAUUAUGUAUGUACCAUAAGAAUAAGGAUCGGCUAACUCCGUGCCAGCAGCCGCGGUAAUACGGAGGAUUCGAGCGUUAUCCGGAUUUAUUGGGUUUAAAGGGAGCGUAGGUGGGUUGUUAAGUCAGUUGUUAAAGUUUGGGGCUCAAACGUAGCAUUGCAGUUGAAACUGGCAGUCUUGAGUACUGGAGAGGUAGGCGGAAUGCGUGGUGUAGCGGUGAAAUGCUUAGAUAUCACGAAGAACUCCGAUUGCGAAGGCAGCUUACUGGACUGCAACUGACGCUGAGGCUCGAAAGCGUGGGUAUCAAACAGGAUUAGAUACCCCAGUAGUC